rnacentral:rRNA from 1 species
AGUCGAACGGCAGCACGGGGCAACCUGGUGGCGAGUGGCGAACGGGUGAGUAAUAUAUCGGAACGUACCCUGGAGUGGGGGAUAACGUAGCGAAAGUUACGCUAAUACCGCAUACGAUCUAAGGAUGAAAGUGGGGGCUUCGCAAGAACCUCAUGCUCCUGGAGCGGCCGAUAUCUGAUUAGCUAGUUGGUGGGGUAAAGGCUCACCAAGGCUUCGAUCAGUAGCUGGUCUGAGAGGACGACCAGCCACACUGGAACUGAGUCACGGUCCAGACUCCUACGGGAGGCAGCAGUGGGGAAUUUUGGACAAUGGGCGCAAGCCUGAUCCAGCAAUGCCGCGUGAGUGAAGAAGGCCUUCGGGUUGUAAAGCUCUUUUGUCAGGGAAGAAACGGUGAGGGCUAAUAUCCCUUGCUAAUGACGGUACCUGAAGAAUAAGCACCGGCUAACUACGUGCCAGCAGCCGCGGUAAUACGUAGGGUGCAAGCGUUAAUCGGAAUUACUGGGCGUAAAGCGUGCGCAGGCGGUUUUGUAAGUUUGUCGUGAAAGCCCCGGGCUCAACCUGGGAAUUGCGAUGAAGACUGCAAGGCUUGAAUCUGGCAGAGGGGGGUAGAAUUCCACGUGUAGCAGUGAAAUGCGUAGAGAUGUGGAGGAACACCGAUGGCGAAGGCAGCCCCCUGGGUCAAGAUUGACGCUCAUGCACGAAAGCGUGGGGAGCAAACAGGAUUAGAUACCCUGGUAGUCCACGCCCUAAACGAUGUCUACUAGUUGUCGGGUUUUAAUUAACUUGGUAACGCAGCUAACGCGUGAAGUAGACCGCCUGGGGAGUACGGUCGCAAGAUUAAAACUCAAAGGAGUUGAC